GGGUGCGAUCAUACCAGCACUAAUGCACGGGAUACCAUCAGAACUCCACAGUGAAACGUGCUUGGGUGAGAGUAGUACGAGGAUGGGUGACCUCCUGGGAAGUCCUCGUGUUGCACCUC
rfam:Populus trichocarpa isolate Nisqually-1 chromosome 17, whole genome shotgun sequence.